rnacentral:rRNA from 1 species
UACGUAGGGGGCAAGCGUUGUCCGGAUUUAUUGGGCGUAAAGAGCGUGUAGGCGGCCCGGAAGGUCAGCUGUGAAAACUCGAGGCUCAACCUCGAGACGUCGGUUGAAACCACCUGGCUAGAGUCCGGAAGAGGAGUGUGGAAUUCCCGGUGUAGCGGUGAAAUGCGCAGAUAUCGGGAAGAACACCUGUGGCGAAAGCGGCUCACUGGACCAUUACUGACGCUGAUGCUCGAAAGCUAGGGGAGCAAACAGG